ensembl:lncRNA
GAAAUAGACAGACAGACUGAGUGAGUGACUAACAGUGAGAAGAGGUCAGGGUGGAGGGGGGGGGGGGGGCGAGUGUCUUUAUCAUAUUGGUCUGUUGACAGAAAGCAUAGCUGCGUCAUGUGACUCCACUAAUCAGGUCAUAGGAGCAGCUGUGAGUCACAGGCAGAGAUCCUGCAGCGUGUGAGCGAGUAACCACGGCAACGGCGCACCUAUUGGAUUGAGUGGGGUGGGGGGGUGUAGAUAGAGGGAGGGAGGGUGAGAGGGUCAAGAAGGGAGGGGUGGUGAGGAAGAGAUAGAGGGAGAGAGAGAGAGGAGGAUAAAUAGACAGACUGACUGAGUGAUUAACAGUGAGAAGAGGUCAGGGUGGAGGGGGGAGGGGGGGCGAGUGUCUUUAUCAUAUUGGUCUGUUGACAGAAAGCAUAGCUGCGUCAUGUGACUCCACUAAUCAGGUCAUAGGAGCAGCUGUGA